rnacentral:tRNA from 1 species
GGGGCCGUAGCUCAGUUGGGAGAGCGCAGCGUUCGCAAUGCUGAGGUCGGGAGUUCGAGCCUCCUCGGCUCCA